rnacentral:tRNA from 1 species
GGGGGUGUGGCUCAGGGGUAGAGCACUUGCCUAGCAUGUGAGAGGUGCUAGGUUCAAUCCUCAGCUCCA